rnacentral:lncRNA from 1 species
GACCCCUCAGCUGUGGACCAGUUCCUUGUGUGACUCUCUUCUCACUGCCCCUGGACAUGCUGUCUCUAUCUUGUACUUAAUUGACGUCCAUGUGGAGCUGGGGAGAGACUUUUGAGUCUGGUCUGAAGUCCAGCUCCUUGGUGGUAGGACCCAGCAGCAUUGAGACCUAAAGGCAGCAGGGGUACUGGAAGGAGGGUGGAGCCAGGAGUGAGGAAGUCUGCCAUUCCCCUGCUGGCUGUGUCGGCUUGAGCAAGUCACUUACCCUUCUUGGGCCUUCAUUCCCUCCUCUGUGAAAUGAAG